rnacentral:ncRNA from 2 species
UGGACACACAGCGCUGAUUUGUUCCGGCUUGCGGGCGCUUUAAAAAUUCCGCUAAAGACGUGGCCCCGAUCCG